AUUGAACGCUGGCGGCAGGCUUAACACAUGCAAGUCGAGCGGGGUGAUGGUGCUUGCACUAUCACUUAGCGGCGGACGGGUGAGUAAUGCUUAGGAAUCUGCCUAUUAGUGGGGGACAGCAUCUCGAAAGGGAUGCUAAUACCGCAUACGUCCUACGGGAGAAAGCAGGGGAUCACUUGUGACCUUGCGCUAAUAGAUGAGCCUAAGUCGGAUUAGCUAGUUGGUGGGGCAAAGGCCUACCAAGGCGACGAUCUGUAGCGGGUCUGAGAGGAUGAUCCGCCACACUGGGACUGAGACACGGCCCAGACUCCUACGGGAGGCAGCAGUGGGGAAUAUUGGACAAUGGGGGCAACCCUGAUCCAGCCAUGCCGCGUGUGUGAAGAAGGCCUUAUGGUUGUAAAGCACUUUAAGCGAGGAGGAGGCUCUUUUGGUUAAUACCCAAGAUGAGUGGACGUUACUCGCAGAAUAAGCACCGGCUAACUCUGUGCCAGCCGCCGCCGUAA
rnacentral:rRNA from 1 species